ensembl:snRNA U2 U2 spliceosomal RNA
ACGUAUUUUGUAAAAUUGUGAAGAAAAAAAAGAAAAAAAAUUCUGUUCUUAUCAGUUUAAUAUCUGAUACGUCCUCUACCUGGGGACUACAUAUUAAAUUGAUUUUUGGAUCACAGAGCUGGAGCCGGGGCUUGCUCUGUCCACUCCACGCAUCGGCCUGGUAUUGCAGUGUCUCCAGGAACGGUGUGCUUCCC